rnacentral:lncRNA from 1 species
GCUGCAUCCUCCGUGCAGUUCACGUGCUGCACACUAACUUCCACCGUAGGUUUAUUACAUUUGCUUUUUCUGCUGUCACCCACCCCUGCCACCCUGGCAGACAUCACAAACCCCCUGUACAUGCAGUAGGGCCACAACCCAUAUCCGAAGUCCCCGCUGCUCCUAGGGCUACACGCCGGUGACGCAACGCUCCCAGGGGUCGCCCUCCCAUUGGCCGUUCCGCCGGCAGCACCCGUGGGUGACCCUGAGCCCAGGUCUAUCACGAACUUCCCGCCUUUGCUGCUGCUCAAAGUCGACUCGGCUAAGACUAUCCCGGCAGCCGCGGCUGAGUCGGGGAUGAGUUCGAACCGGUAGCCGAGGCCGUCCGCUGAGCCGCGCUCUCGCCAGGCCUCCAGCCGGCCCCACGGCUUCCAGGUGCCGUCCCCGGGGCGUAGGAUGAGCCACGAACCGGGAUUGGACCGGCUCACCCGGUCUGAACCGGGUGAAGCCACAAAUGGAGUGACCAUUGAAGCAGCUGCCACGGGCGAACCGGACAGGUCGUGGACCGUAAUGGACCAUCCUUUUCGCUCCUUUCCGGGCCUCUCCCUUUCGCUCCCAAAUGAACUUAGCCAGCUCCGUGAACAACUCAGCUCCGACGGCAACGACCUAUAUUUAUUAUUAUAUAAUAAUAAUAAUAAAGCCCAAACAGGACCCAAAAAAAAUUUAAUUAUUACGUGUAAAACACUAAGAUUAAUUAAACAAAGUAAACAGUAGUAAUUAAAAGCGUGACAGAAAAUAAAGGUAGGGAUCUUUGCUUUAAAUUGAACCUAGGGAGCUCGAACAAGAUACUUGUAUAAUUAGGCCCUGUAAAGAUAUCUUACUAAUGUAUUAAGUACCCUUUUAAGCUCUAAUUUUGUUAUAAAAGAAGAGUAAAGUAAGUUCUACCUAGUAAAAAUUUGCCUUUACCGUACAAUUCCAGCAAGCAUUUAUUCUUCACUUUCACACUUUUUUUUCCUAUUUUUUACCAAAAAUAGUAUGCAUCGAAUUAAUACUACUUUGGUAGAGAGAUUAUUAAAUACUAGUAAUGCUCAACAACAGAAAAGGCCAGUAGAGAUUAUUUUAAGUAUUCAUGCAAAAUUAAAAGCAAAUUGUUGAAACACAGAAAAGAAAAGGAAGGAAAUUAGGGGGAAAAAAAAAGUAGUAAAAACUGACCAGGAACGUUGAUUGCGGUCGGGGGCGGAGCGGAAGCUGAAUUUGCAAGUGAAAACAGGUUGACGGAUGCUUCCUUGAAUCUGAAACACUUGCGGGCUGCAUUCGGGUUCUCCGUCGAACUGGAAAACGAACCUCGGGUCGGGUUCCGACUUGACGUUCAGGUGAAACUGGGCACUGGAGUUUUUGGAUU